rnacentral:rRNA from 1 species
GAUGAACGCUGGCGGCGUGCCUAAUACAUGCAAGUCGAGCGAACGGACGAGAAGCUUGCUUCUCUGAUGUUAGCGGCGGACGGGUGAGUAACACAUGGAUAACCUACCUAUAAGACUGGGAUAACUUCGGGAAACCGGAGCUAAUACCGGAUGAUAUUUUGAACCGCAUGGUUCAAAAGUGAAAGACGGUCUUGCCGUCACUUAUAGAUGGAUCCGCGCUGCAUUAGCUAGUUGGUAAGGUAACGGCUUACCAAGGCAACGAUGCAUAGCCGACCUGAGAGGGUGAUCGGCCACACUGGAACUGAGACACGGUCCAGACUCCUACGGGAGGCAGCAGUAGGGAAUCUUCCGCAAUGGGCGAAAGCCUGACGGAGCAACGCCGCGUGAGUGAUGAAGGUCUUCGGAUCGUAAAACUCUGUUAUUAGGGAAGAACAUAUGUGUAAGUAACUGUGCACAUCUUGACGGUACCUAAUCAGAAAGCCACGGCUAACUACGUG